rnacentral:rRNA from 1 species
CAGUUAGUUGGUAGGGUAAUGGCCUACCAAGGCAAUGAUGCGUAGUCAGUCUGAGAGGAUGAAUGGCCACAAGGGAACUGAGACACGGUCCCUACUCCUACGGGAGGCAGCAGUGAGGAAUUUUCGGCAAUGGGGGAAACCCUGACCGAGCAAUACUACGUGAAGGAGGAAGGUCUACGGAUUGUAAACUUCUGUUAGCGCGGAAGAAGGGCUAAACGUGAGUUUAGUUUUGACGGUACGCGCAGAGAAAGCAACGACUAACUAUGUGCCAGCAGUCGCGGUAAGACAUAGGUUGCGAACGUUAUCCGGAAUUAUUGGGCGUAAAGGAUGCGUAGAUGGUGUAAUAAGUUAUCAGUGGUAAAUCGGGGCUCAACCUCGUGGAAGCUGGUAAUACUGUUAUGCUUGAGUGCAGGAGAGGUUAACGGAACUCCAUGUGGAGCGGUAAAAUGUGACGAUAUAUGGAAGAACACCAAUAAGGCGAAGGCAGUUAACUAUUCUGUUACUGACAUUGAGGCAUGAAAGCGUGGGGAGCAAAACGGAUU